GAUGAAGAACGUAGCGAAAUGCGAUACGUAGUGUGAAUUGCAGAAUUCAGUGAAUCAUCGAAUCUUUGAACGCACAUUGCACCUCUCGGUAUUCCGGGAGGUAUGCCUGUUCGAGCGUCAUUUGUACCCUCAAGCUCUGCUUGGUGUUGGGUGUUUGUUCCGCCUCUGUGUGUGAACUCGCCUCAAAACAAUUGGCAGCCGGCGUACUUGUUUCGGAGCGCAGCACAUUUUGCGAUCCAGAUCAACGUACAGCGGCAUCCAAGAAGCCUUAUUUAACGCUCUUGAUCUCGGAUCAGGUAGGGAUACCCGCUGAACUUAAGCAUAUCAAUAAGCGGAGGA
rnacentral:misc_RNA from 1 species